rnacentral:sRNA from 1 species
GCCGCGGUCGCCGCAGGCCAGUCCCUCCAGGUGAAGCCCCUGCAGGUGGAGCCCCCGGAGCCGGUGGUGGCCGUGGCCUUGGGCGCCUCGCGCCAGCUCACCUGCCGCCUGGCCUGCGCGGACCGCGGGGCCUCGGUGCAGUGGCGGGGCCUGGACACCAGCCUGGGCGCGGUGCAGUCGGACACGGGCCGCAGCGUCCUCACCGUGCGCAACGCCUCGCUGUCGGCGGCCGGGACCCGCGUGUGCGUGGGCUCCUGCGGGGGCCGCACCUUCCAGCACACCGUGCAGCUCCUUGUGUACGCCUUCCCGGACCAGCUGACCGUCUCCCCGGCAGCCCUGGUGCCUGGUGACCCGGCGGUGGCCUGUACGGCCCACAAGGUCACGCCCGUGGACCCCAACGCGCUCUCCUUCUCCCUGCUCGUGGGGGGCCAGGAACUGGAGGGGGCGCAAGCCCUGGGCCCGGAGGUGCAGGAGGAGGAGGAGGAGCCCCAGGGGGACGAGGACGUGCUGUUCAGGGUGACAGAGCGCUGGCG